rnacentral:rRNA from 1 species
UACGGGGGGUGCGAGCGUUGUCCGGAAUCACUGGGCGUAAAGGGCGCGUAGGUGGUUUGAUAAGGGUGUGGUGAAAGCCCGGGGCUCAACCCCGGGUCUGCCGUGCCGACUGUUGAACUCGAGGGCUGUAGAGGCAGACGGAAUUCCGGGUGUAGCGGUGGAAUGCGUAGAGAUCCGGAGGAAGACCAGUGGCGAAGGCGGGUCUCUGGACAGUU